rnacentral:rRNA from 1 species
UUUGACCUCAAAUCAGGUUAGAAUACCGCUGAACUUAA